UUGCUACGCCACACCCACACGGGAACUCAGCAGUGAAUAACAUUAAAACAUGAGCGAAAGCUCGAUUUAGUUAUGAUAAAUAUGGUUGGUUAAUUUCGUGCCAGCCACCGCGGUUAUACGAAAAACCAAAAACAAUGGCCUACGGCGUAAAAAGUGGCCCGAGCCUGCCAAAAAAUUAAAGAAUAAUCACAACAAAGUUGUAAAACACUUGUAUGUGGGACCCUCAACAACAAAAUGACUUUAAACUAACGGCUUCUUACCCCCACGAAAGCUAAGAAACAAACUAGGAUUAGAUACCCUACUAUGCUUAGCCCUUAACAUAGACAAUACAAACACAAUAUUGUCCGCCAGAGAACUACAAGUGAAAAACUAGAAACUCCAAGGACUUGGCGGUGCCCCAUAUCAACCUAGAGGAGCCUGUCCUAUAAUCGAUAAUCCACGCUGUACCUUACCAUUUCUUGCAACUCAGGCUAUAUACCGCCGUCGAAAGCCUACCUUAUGAAAGAAACAAAGUAAGCAAAAUAGUCAACAACAAAAACGUCAGGCCAAGGWGUAGCAUAUGARAUGGAAGAGAUGGGCUACAUUUUCUACCUCAGAAAACACGAACAGCACRAUGAAAUCUGUACUCA
rnacentral:rRNA from 1 species